CUUGGUCAUUUAGAGGAAGUAAAAGUCGUAACAAGGUUUCCGUAGGUGAACCUGCGGAAGGAUCAUUAACUAGUAUUGAAGUCCACGGGGAUCAGGCUUUCCGAAAGGAGGGUGGGGGGAUGUUUGGUUCCCCCUGCUUGGGCAGACUGGAGAGCAUUGUGUAGCCACUUUUGUUGGCUACGUUAUGUUUGGCCUCUGCUGAUCGAGCUUGUCACCUGAAUUCUACUACCCUUGCUUUUUGCGCACCCAUUGUUUCCUCGGUAGGCUUGCCUGCCAGUAGGACCAUUUAAAACCCUUUGUGAUUGCAAUCAGCGUCAGAAACAACGUAAUCGUUACAACUUUCAACAACGGAUCUCUUGGUUCUGGCAUCGAUGAAGAACGCAGCGAAAUGCGAUAAGUAGUGUGAAUUGCAGAAUUCAGUGAAUCAUCGAAUCUUUGAACGCACAUUGCGCCCCUUGGUAUUCCAUGGGGCAUGCCUGUUCGAGCGUCAUUUGUACCCUCCAGCCCUGCUGGGUGUUGGGCGUUUUGUUCCGCUGCGCGCGUGAACUCGCCUCAAAUGCAUUGGCAGCCCGCCGUCCUGUGUGGGAGCGCAGCACAUUUUGCGCUCUCCACUGCUGACGGUGGCAUCCACAAGUCUACCAUUUUACGCUUGACCUCGGAUCAGGUAGGGAUACCCGCUGAACUUAAGCAUAUCAAUAAGCGGAGGAAAAGAAACCAACAGGGAUUGCCCUAGUAACGGCGAGUGAAGCGGCAACAGCUCAAAUUUGAAAUCUGGCGCUUUCAGCGUCCGAGUUGUAAUUUGCAGAGGGCGCUUUGGCGUUGGCAGCGGUCCAAGUUCCUUGGAACAGGUCGUCACAGAGGGUGAGAAUCCCGUACGUGGCCGCAUGUCUUCGCCGUGUAAAGCCCCUUCGACGAGUCGAGUUGUUUGGGAAU
rnacentral:sRNA from 1 species